UGCUUUACACAUGCAAGUCGAACGGCCAGCACGGACUUCGGUUCUGUUGGCGAGUGGCGAACGGUUGAGUAAUAUAUCGGAACGUAUCCAAUAAUGGGGGAUAACUAAUCGAAAGGUUGGCUAAUACCGCAUACGCCCUACGGGGGAAAGCUAGGACCUUCGGGCCUGGCGUUAAUGGAGCGGCUGAUAUCUGAUUAGCUAGUAGGUGAGGUAAAGGCUCACCUAGCGACGAUCAGUAGCUGGUCUGAGAGGACGACCAGCCACACUGGAACUGAGACACGGUCCAGACUCCUACGGGAGGCAGCAGUGGGGAAUUUUGGACAAUGGGCGAAAGCCUGAUCCAGCCAUUCCGCGUGAGUGAAGAAGGCCUUCGGGUUGUAAAGCUCUUUCGCAAGGGAAGAAAACUUAGGCGCUAAUAUCGCUUGAGGUUGACGGUACCUUGAUAAGAAGCACCGGCUAACUACGUGCCAGCAGCCGCGGUAUACGUAGGGUGCGAGCGUUAAUCGGAAUUACUGGGCGUAAAGCGUGCGCAGGCGGUUUUGUAAGUCAGAUGUGAAAUCCCCGAGCUCAACUUGGGAACUGCGUUUGAAACUAUAAGACUAGAAUAUGUCAGAGGGGGGUAGAAUUCCACGUGUAGCAGUGAAAUGCGUAGAGAUGUGGAGGAAUACCAAUGGCGAAGGCAGCCCCCUGGGAUAAUAUUGACGCUCAUGCACGAAAGCGUGGGGAGCAAACAGGAUAGAUACCCUGGUAGUCCACGCCCUAAACGAUGUCUACUAGUUGUUGGUGGAGUAAAAUCCAUGAGUAACGCAGCUAACGCGUGAAGUAGACCGCCUGGGGAGUACGGUCGCAAGAUUAAAACUCAAAUGAAUUGACGGGGGCCCGCACAAGCGGUGGGAUUAUGUUGGAUUAAUUCGAUUGCAACGCGAAAAAACUUACCUGGGCCUUGACAUUGUA
rnacentral:rRNA from 1 species